rnacentral:lncRNA from 10 species
CACAAAUUGAAAAUGUAGUUAGGUCUAUGAUAGUUGCAUCUGUACUGCACAUGUACAGACUUUUUUUUCUGGUCAUUAUUCCCUAAACGAUGAGUAUAAUGACUAUUUACAUAGCAUUUACAUUGCUUCAUUUCAGUGAAGUGGUAGGGGUGUAAGUGUGACUGGAGUGGAUUCAAGAAACAAUAAGAGAAGAGACAAUAGCAACAGUCUCAGCAAGUAAUGGAUUCUGAUCUGCAAACACAACCCAGCAUGCCAGCAUUUGCAGAUGUACCCAUGAGCCAACCAAAUAGCAAGUCUCCUUUGCAAGCAAAAGUCAAAUAUUGAUCCACUCGACCUGUCCUCGAGGUUUUGAUUAACACAGAAGAUUGCCACGCCGAAGGUGCAGCUCUUCUUAUGGAGAUAGCAGAGACACAAGAGACCAAGCUCAACUACACAAGCAUAUUUCAUGUCUCUGCUUACGUCACAUCUGUCAUUAUCCCAUUGGCCAAGGUGGAAGGAUCAAUAGCUGAGUGUGUCUUCGGGAACUAAGUGACAAAACAACACUAACAUACUCCAGUGAAAAGCACCACAUUUCUCUAGCCAUGGUCAAUAUUUGAAGGUGGCAAAACACAGAGG